GUCAGCUCGUGUCGUGAGAUGUUGGGUUAAGUCCCGCAACGAGCGCAACCCUUGUCCUAUAUUGCCAGCACGUAAUGGUGGGGACUUUUAGGAGACCGCCGGGGUCAACUCGGAGGAAGGUGGGGAUGACGUCAAGUCAUCAUGCCCCUUAUGCCCAGGGCUGCAAACAUGCUACAAUGGCCGGUACAAAGGGCUGCUACACCGCGAGGUUGAGCGAAUCCCACAAAGCCGGUCUCAGUUCGGAUUGGAGUCUGCAACUCGACUCCAUGAAGUCGGAGUCGCUAGUAAUCCCGGAUCAGCAAUGCCGGGGUGAAUACGUUCCCGGGCCUUGUACACACCGCCCGUCACACCACGAAAGUCGGCAACACCCGAAGUCAGUGGCCUAACCCUUCGGGGAAGGAGCUGCCGAAGGUGGGGUUGGCGAUUGGGGUGAAGUCGUAACAAGGUAGCCGUACCGGAAGGUGCGGCUGGAUCACCUCCUUU
rnacentral:rRNA from 1 species